ACAGGGGCUCUCAGGAGCCAUUUUCCCCCCGCUUGGUCACCAUUCAUCGUAGUUGACCCUCCGUCAACUCUCACUACCUACAAUCCAUGUAGAGCAUCUCAUUUUGAUACCUAACCCGUCACCAUCCAUACCCCGGUCCCGGGCCCGCUCACCGACUAAGGACGUGGUAUACUCGAGAUAUACCCGUCAUGGUAGUUGGAUACAGAAGUCGAGGGAUUCACCCAACGACGCAACUGCAUUUAGAUUUAUGGUAGUUGGAUACAGAAGUCGAGGGAUUCACCCAACGACGCAACUACAUUUAGAAUCAAGGAUUCAGGAGGAAAAAUGCUUUUACACAAGUCACCACUCGAACGGCUAGUGUGAUAAAGUACACACAGCUCACUUCGAUGGAUCAAAAGCUCAUUUUACAAUUUAUCACGUAUCAAGUCAAGAAAACACUUAAUUCAAGUAGGAAAGGAACAGGCAGGGACACUCACCAAGAGUGGAGUUCAGAUAUCAAGUUGGAAAUCGAAUCCGCGUCCUCGCAAUAUCCUAGAAUACCAAAUAUUGAAACUAUAAGUUUCUAUUCAGUUUUUUUUUUAAGCUUAUACACAUCGAGGUUUAUCUAAUAUAUUACUAGUUUAUUUUCCCAUAGUAAUUUCAAGAAUCUACUUAGGUUGAAACUUGACAAAAGUAGUGGAAAUGUUUCUUAUAGUUUUCCUUGGGAUAUUUUUCCUUAGAAAAGGGUAACUAGUAUCAUUUUCUUGAAAUAAGUCGACAAAUCUCUUAAUAUCCACGUUAGGAAGUUACUUUGAACAUUUCUUUAAAGCUAUGGUUUUUGCAAAAAUUAUUACUAAAACUAUUUUACCUAAAAAUAAGGUUUCUUGCCGUGCAAGUUCCUAUGCUUUUAACUAAAAUUAUUAAAACUCGUAUUUUGGCACUUUUCC
rnacentral:lncRNA from 1 species